rnacentral:tRNA from 1 species
GUUAUUUUGGCAGAUUAGUGUAUUGAAUUUAGAAUUCAAUUAUGUAAUGUAUAUUACAAAUAAUA